ACGCCGCCUCUGCCCGCGUUCCCGACGCUAGGCCCCGCCCCCAGGCGCCCGUGGUUCGCGAGGCGCUCUAGAGUCCCGGAUGCUGCGUCUUCUUUCCUCGGGUUUGGGAUGAAUCCUCUCCCAUUUCCCCGGGAGAUGGUGACUGCCUUGGAGGACGCUUCGAUCUCAAGCUACUCUGGGCUCCACUUUCCUCCAUAUUGGCCGGUUCCCUGGCGGGGUUAACCUUCCUCCCCGCCCCCAGCGCGAGCCGCAGGGCCGGCGGGGAAGUUUCCCGCCGCGCUGACUGCAGGGCACUGGGUCAUCAAAGGCAGGAAACCAGGAAACUCCACUCCUAACUUCACAGUCCUUCCAGCUGCCUCGCAGUGCGAGGCAAAAAUGCAGGAACACUGGAGAAGAAAUGGAAGCCAGGAGAACUUCCAAGGAAUCGCGCACAUUGCCCUCAAAACGGUGGGAAUGCUCUGGAGAGCUGUUCUUCGCCUAUGCUGAUUCGCUGAACUCAACAGGGAGCAGAAACCCCAGGGCACACUCUACGUGGGACCUGAGGCUGGGUAAUGGCCUGACGCUGGACCUGAGCCCUUUGGAGCCUCUAUAUCAACUAUCAAAGGAGGGUGCAUUGCGAAGAAGUGCGAAUGGGAGGGAGUGUGAACUCAGUGCCUGUUAGCUGAUUCACUCAACCAACUUGCAUCGCUCCUACCCCGGGGCUUGGUGCAUGGACAGCGAUGACGGGGAGAGGGUCCGGCCUCACAGGACUAUAACAGCCAAAGGGUUGUGGGUACAAGGGGGACAGGGCAGGUGUUCCGUGGGAGGCCUUGAAGGGGAAGGUGGAGUCCUGAAGCAUGAGUCCGAAGUAGUAGCAAUCAUUCAAUAAAUACAUGCUGAUUUAUUACAGAGAUAAGAUAGUUUCUUGAGGGAUAAAUUCAAGAGGAGUUGAGAAUGUUUUAUUCAUUUACAACGUCCCUUUCCUGGAAGGGAGGAUAGCAAGAUUUAGGACAAGCUAAAAUCAUCCCUUAUUAAACAAACAAAAAAAAUCACUCCCAAAUAGUCCCAGGUAGGGGGACAGAA